rnacentral:rRNA from 1 species
AUACGGGGGGUGCGAGCGUUAUUCGGAAUUACUGGGCGUAAAGAGCGCGUAGGCGGUCUUUUAAGUCAGGUGUGAAAGCCCGGAGCUCAACCCCGGAAGUGCACUUGAAACUAAGAGACUUGAGUAUGGGAGAGGGAAGUGGAAUUCCUGGUGUAGCGGUGAAAUGCGUAGAUAUCAGGAGGAACAUCAGUGGCGAAGGCGACUUCCUGGACCAAUACUGACGCUGAGGCGCGAAGGCGUGGGGAGCAAACAGGAUUAGAAACCCCGGUAGUCC